GUACGCUGGCGGCACGCCUAACACAUGCAAGUCGAACGAAGUAGCAAUACUUAGUGGCAGACGGGUGAGUAACAUGUGGGUAUCCGCCCUUUGGCCUGGAAUAACACGAGGAAACUUGUGCUAAUACCGGAUAAGUCUUUACGGAGAAAGCUUUAUGCACCAUUGGAUGAGCCCGCACUUGAUUAGUUUGUUGGUGGGGUAAUGGCCUACCAAGACUGUGAUCAAUAGCUGAUUUGAGAGGAUGAUCAGCCACAUUGGGACUGAGACACGGCCCAAACUCCUACGGGAGGCAGCAGUGGGGAAUCUUGCACAAUGGAGGAAACUCUGAUGCAGCGAUGCCGCGUGAGUGAAGAAGGCCCUUGGGUUGUAAAGCUCUUUCGUCGGGGAAGAAAAUGACUGUACCCGAAUAAGAAGGUCCGG
rnacentral:rRNA from 1 species